CCCUCUCACAUCACCCACCCAUGUCCAUGCACCUCCACCCACACCCAACCAUGUCCAUGCACCUCUCACAUCACCCAACCCAUGUCCAUGCACCACACACAUCACCCAGCCCAGUCCAUGUCCAUGCACUUCUCACAUCACCCAGCCCAUGUCCAUGUCCAUGCGCCUGUCAUAUCACCCAGCAAUUGUCCAUGGCCGUGCAAGUCACACAACCCAUGCCCAUGCACUUCUCACAUCACCCACCCAUGUCCAUGCACCUCUCACAUCACAAACCAUGUCCAUGCACCUCUCACAACACCCAACCAUGUCCAUCACCUCACAUCACCCAGCCCAUGUCCAUGCCCAUGCACUUCUCACAUCACCCACCCAUGUCCAUGCACCUCUCACAUCACAACCCAUGCCUGCACCUCUCACAACACCCAACCAUGUCCAUGCACCUCUCACAUCACCCAGCCAUGUCCAUGUCAUGCCAUGCCAUGCGCCUGUCAUAUCACCCAGCAAUUGUCCAUGGCCAUGCAAGUCACACAACCCAUGCCCUGCACUUCUCACAUCACCCAAACCAAGUCCAUUCACCUCUCACAUCAUCCAACCCAUGUCCAUUUCCAUUCACCUCUCAAAUCACCCACCCAUGUCCAUGCACCCUCACACCACCCAACCAUGUCCAUGCACCUCUCACAUCAUCCAGCCCAUGUCCAUGUCCAUGUCCAUGCGCCUGUCAUAUCACCCAGCAAUUGUCCAUGGCCAGGCAAGUCACACAACCCAUGUCCAUGUCCUGGACAUCUCACACCUUGCCCAUUCCAUGUCCAUUCACCUCUCACAUCCCUAGCCAAUGUUCAUGCACCUCUCACAUCACUCAACCCAUG
rnacentral:lncRNA from 1 species